UCUAGUCUGUGGUUUACCUCUUCAAACGUCAACCCUCCCAGCAAUUUCUUGGACCUGACUUGAAUAGGACAGAUAAGCUGAACACACAUGAGAAGAGUGUGGCUCAUCUAAAUCAGAUUAGAUUACUUCUUCAGGAAAUGGGUUGUCCCUCAUAAAUGUUAACGUGAUCUCCAAGAGCUUACUUUAGUGACAACAGACAUCAGGACAUGUUAUAUGUAAGACAGUGGAUGAUGGUAUUGAGACAAAACAGGAUAGAGCAGAAACAUGCUGCACCCAGAAAGGUAAACAUUCCUGAUAACUCAGUGGCUGUGGCUCUAAUGUAUACACUGCAGAUUCUCCUAUAAACUGAGACUUCUACAAAUCCUCCAGGUUAGGAGGCCUGACGAUAAGAAAGGGUCGGCACGUCACAUGCUUAGGCAGGUGGACCUGCAGUCAGCACCAGCAGCCCCAUGCCCCAGGGGAGGCAAAACAGCUGCUACUGUGGAACUUGAAGGUGACCCCGAAGAGCAGAUAGAUGGUAACUAAACCAGAAGAUGCCAUGUUCUUAUGUGAAAUCCUAAAGUCAUACACCAACCUGGAGAACUUGGGGAAGGAGACUAAAAGUCUAAAAUUAAGUUGACAGCCUACGUGACAGAGGCUUAGCCAAACAUUGACUUUACAUUUCUUAAGUAAAGAGAAUUGAAAACUCAUCAUAGAGUAGACUUCAGACCUGCUGCACAGACGUGACCGUGGGCAAGCCAAGGGGAUGAGCUCCAAAUCUCUAACUAGUAAAAUCACAAUAAAAGGUACUUAUCUCAUAAGGUUGUAAGGGCUCUAAAAAUAAUGCUUGUAAAAUUUAACAUAACCUGAUUUGCAGUGUUAAUAAGCAUGCAACUUUUGUCUGUUUAGAUGCCUACAUGAACUCUAAAAUAGGUCCAUUUAGUGACAUCAUAUAUGAAAUUUUAUGCUCUAAUGAAUAUUUUCGGUAGAGAUAUCUUUCCCUUUUUUCUAUCUGCCACGAGAAGCUGGAUACUCAAGUCUGAAGCGACUGGGACAUUAAGGCAUAUCCUAGAGUAAGUCGCUGGGAGUUUCUAGGGCUCCCAAAGCCACAGUGUGAACUAGCAGACAGCAGGUUUACGGGAGAAUGAGAGCCCCAGAGAAAUGAACACUGGACAGAAUUUCCAAAGAGAAAUAGGUCUCCAACCCUAUGCAAUCUCUUGAGUAUUGUCCUAACUAUGAUCCUCCUAUGACCAGGUAGUUCACGCUGGGCUUGUUCCUGUAUAACCCUAUAAAACAAGGGUCAAACAACAGUCCAUGGGGCAAAUCUAGCCUGCCACUUUUUUUUAAAUAAAUAAAGUUUUAUUCCUUUACAAGUCAACCACAAUAGCAGCCAGAGACCCCAGAGCCCACAGAGCCGGAAAUACUUAAAAUCUGGCCUUUUACAGAAAAAGGGAUUUUACUGACCCCACCUUCUAACUCAACCUAUCUCCGAUUACGGGAAGUAGGAUGUCACAUGAAUUUUAAGAGCAUACACAAAACAGGUCUGGGAACCAAUCACCUGUCUCCAAUCCCCACAGUAGAAAGAGGAUCUGAGGACGUGUGAAUAUUAUAAUGACAUCUCUCUCCUUGUUUCUACCUGUUCUAAUUCUCACCAGGUUCCUUCCAGUUACAUUUGAAAGAAAUUAAGUACCUUCACAUCUGUUCUGCUUG